rnacentral:rRNA from 1 species
CAUCCUCCAAGGCUAAAUACUCCUGACUGACCGAUAGUGAACCAGUACCGUGAGGGAAAGGCGAAAAGAACCCCGGCGAGGGGAGUGAAAAAGAACCUGAAACCGUGUACGUACAAGCAGUGGGAGCACAGAGCAAUCUGUGUGACUGCGUACCUUUUGUAUAAUGGGUCAGCGACUUAUAUUCUGUAGCAAGGUUAACCGAAUAGGGGAGCCGAAGGGAAACCGAGUCUUAACUGGGCGUUAAGUUGCAGGGUAUAGACCCGAAACC